UAGCAGAAGUUUCUGGUUUCACCACCRUGCCUCUUAAAAGCUUAAAACUAAAAAAUAACGACGUGGAGUGAAAUGUCCAGAUAAAACUGAAACUGUCACGGACCAGUUGAUGGAUGAAGUUUAUUGAGUCAUGAAGACAACAACCCAAUGACUGAAAAACAAAUUUAACGAGCAGUGACAUGUUGGGUAAAGUGAGUUAAAGCAUAGCAAGGACCAUACAAACUGCAGGAAAAAAACAUCCCCCCAUGCUGCUCAAUGUGUGAGCAUGUGUGCAGGUCUGCUCUGAGGGACAGAGGUAAAGUGAAACAACAUGUUUGCUUCCCAGAACGCGAAGACACAGCACCUCUUUAGAAGAAGCGCAUGAGUUAUGAAUGAGACAACCCCAGAUUCCCCAAAAAACAAAUGAGGGAAGUAAACACAAUGGAGCCCCCACCAGCACAGUUGGAAAACUUUCCCACAGAUGGAAACUGGCUUUGAACCUUCUUUUUUUUUUUUUUUUUUCCCCUUUUUCGGUUUUAUGAACAAGUUUAGGCUAAAGGCAUGCCCCUUUAUAGAAACACACUGAGAACAGACUUUGCGUUUUUCCCUUCCUUCAUUUACUGAUCCAAUGAAAAACUGAAUGCGGGCACGCAGUGAAUGGUUGACUCAUGUGUCAGCACAGCAGAAGUCUUGCAAGCAAGGCAGACACUUCAACAAAAGAUCCUAGAUAACRUUACUGAAGCUUGAUCCAUUCAUUUUCUCACACCCUUGCCCCUAGUGGGGUCGGGAGGGGUGCUGGUGCCCAUCUCCAGCGAGACAUUUUGGGUGUCCCUGGACAGGACAAACAACCCUGCACGCACACAUUCACACCAAUUAAGUGAGAGAGACCAUUUAACCUUAACAGUCAUGUUUUUGGACUGUGGGAGGAAGCUGGAGAGAACCCACGCAUGCACAGGGAAAACAUGCGAACUGACCCCGCAGAAAGACCCUGGGGCUGGGAAUCGAACCCAGGACCUUCUUGUUGCAAGGCAACAGUGCUACCAACUGUGCCACCGUGCAGCCCCUGAAGCUUGAUAUAGGCCGUUAUUACGGUAGAUAAAUAAGAGUGACAACAUGGUCCACUGUGGAGGGUAUGUUUUCUGCUAAUGCUAAACUGUAAUUAUAAUAAAGUCAA